GCCUUGAUCUGCAUCCCGGUGUUAUGGUGGUCUUGCAAAAAGGGCACGAGAUAAAUGCAGAAUAAAUGCAUUAUUUAGGAAGAGCUGCUAGAGAAGAUUCCAGGGAGAGAAAAUAAUCGAAGAUACUUCAGAAAUCUUAUGUGCAUAUUCACUGAAACAUUGAGGAAAAUCUCAGAAGUUGAGCAUCAUGGAACUUGCGGAUCACUCGGUCACUGAACCAUCUCAUGCUGAAGCAAAUCUUGGCAAUGGAUCGCUUUCAGACCAUCUUUCUCCUUCAGAAACAUCACUUGAUAAUAUUGUGCAUGGAACAGAGGAUACAGCACAAAAAAAUGAUCUUGAGUUGAACCUGAACCUCUUUGAACCUAUAUCCCCUGCAGAGGUAACGGUGGAGCAAUGUGCUCUUCCCAUGACAACACAAGAGACCAGCCCACAACCUGAAGCCAUUAAAGAGGGAAUAGAUGCAACUGUUUUUAAUUUUGAAGCUCAGUCAAGUCAGGUCAAGCCGAGCUCAAAUACUCAUACAGAAGCGCCAUGUGAGCCAGCAUCCGGCAAUACAGGUUCAUCAGACUGUACGGCUGCAUUACAAGCUUGUGCGUCUGUAGUGACUGCAGACUCUAAUGAUACACCAAAAGAUUGCAUUGCUGUGGAAGAAUCUAUUCAAAGCAUCCAAGGGAUAACAUCUAAUCCUACGCUGUCCAAAGAAGCAUGCUGUGAAACAGACUCUACUAAAGACUCCAACACUAAUGCAUUAAUAGGAUGCACUAAACACAAUGCUAUCAAUAAGAACAUCCCUCCAAAGAAGGACAAGUAUGCCACACUGAAAAUGUGCUCAAACAAAGAAAUACCUCCCACAUCAUCUCAUUUGUCAGUACAGUGCCUACAAUGUCACAUCAUUUUCAGUGAUACCAAAAGCUGGGAACGUCAUCUCAAAAUGAGCCACCCGGAGGAGUAUGAGCAGUUCAUGUUGAGAGAUGCUCUCUUUACCUGCUACGUCUGUGAUAGACAUUUCACAUGCUCCACGGAGCUCAUGGCCCAUCAACGCACACACAUAAAUAAAGGGCGGUUUAAGUGCCCAAUCUGUGAUGAGGUCUUCAGAAAAAAAUAUGAGCUAACAAGUCACAAGGAAAUCCAUGGUGACACACUUGGAUACGCCUGCUCAGAGUGUGGCAAGCAUUUUAAAACCUUUACAUUACUCGGAAACCACCAACGCACACACAAAGAGAGGCCUUAUGUUUGCUUAUACAAACAUUGUGGCAAGAGAUUUGCUGUGCAAAGGUGUCUUCAGCAACACUUAAAGCGCCACAAGAAGGACGAUACUCACGGUACCAUCACAGAGAAAACGAGGAAUAAAGGUGCAAAUGAACGAAGAUUCCCAUGCCCACAAUGUAAUAAAGUUUUUACGACUGCUAAAACACAACUUCUUCACUUAAAAAAUAAACACUCUCAAGACAAAACUAUGGAGGCCCUAAGUAGCACUGCGUCACAACCAGGACCUAUUAUAAACCAGACGGCAAACGGACAACCACAGACUCUGUGUAUGAAAUCUGUCGGACCAGUACCACAACAAACAGAUAUGCUGGAUCCUGAGAAAAUUAAAAGACUGAUUGAGAAACUUGGAAAUGUUCAAAGAGUCAAUCAGCUGGUUAUAUACUCUUUGCAGACACAAAGCUCAGGGCAACCCCAUCUGCAAGCAUUAAUGCAACCAUUACAUUUAAAUUUUACUCAGUCAACAGUUCAGCCACCAGCAUGUGAGAAAACAGGCAAAGACCAAUCAAACGUUGAGCAAAGCCAGCACCAGAAACCAUCAGAGGUGGGAAAUAUGCAGCAAAAGGAAACUGAGGUUCUGACACAGGAGGAAAUUAUUUCAUCAGGAAAAUCGGUAACUCAAGAGGCACCUGUUGAACUGACUAAGGCACAAACACAAAUUCAUGAAGUUCACCUUGAACUCAUACCUGUUCAGACUGAAACUGCAGUUUUGCUGGACCAAGCACCCUUACAAUUUGAAGUGUCAGAGAAUGAUUCUGUUUAUGAGCAGGCACAGUUCCAGCAUAUUCCGGUCACCCAAGAAAUUGAAGCUUUGGAGACAAAGAAUAGAUCACCUUUAAUGCCCCUAACUGAAACGACAAAGUCUCAAAAGGAGGAAAAUGUGUCACUGGCAGUUGACAGGAUAGUAUCAGACACAGUUAACAUGACAGAAAGUCUGUGUUCUGGACAAAUGCAAGAUUCAGCAGACUUGUCAGUGGAAUCAGACACACAGGUGCUGAGUGGGCAGGGUAACAAAGUCAUAUUAAGUGAGGCUCACAAACUUGAACAGAAACAAUCUAAAAAAAAACAAGUUGAGUCAGAGAAAGAACUGUCCAUUGUGGAACAACAACCUCACUCUGAUCACCAUUCCAUCAACAAUUUGCAGAAUAACACAAAGGAUGUACAACCAGCCAUGGUGGAACCACAGUCUCAGAGUGAUCAACAUUCCCUCAACAAUUUGCAGAAUGACACAAAGGAUGUACAACCAUCCAUGGUGGAAGUUCAAUCUCAGAGUGAUCCGCAUUCCAUUAACCAUUUGCAGAUCGACACAAAAGACGUACAGCCAUCCACGGUGGAACCACAGUCUCAGAGUGAUCAGCAUUCCCUCAACAAUUUACAGAACAACACAGCAAAAGGCGUAAAACAAGGCUCUGUGCUUCCACCAGACCAUACUCAAGCCAGUUUACAGGAUGGCCCUUUUCUUCAGAAGAACCUUCCAACAAAGAAAAAAACAUCAAACAUACAAUCUGUUGACAACAUAGAGACUAAGGAAGCAAAUAAAGCAUGUGGUGGACAGGAAGCAUCAACCAAGAAAAUUAAUACUUCGUCAAAAGUGAUUACGAAGAAGAGAGAAAAGGCAAAUAACAAAAAACUGGUUGUCCGAUUUGAAGCAAGAGAAAAUAAAAAAUCCUCUAAACAAAAAGUAUUAACAACAUCAAAAACCAAACAAACUCAGAAUCAGCCAAACAUUGAUCGAGAACAAGUGGUUAUUGUGUCACAACAUGAUAGUAAACUGUAUUUUAAACAGAAAUUGCAAAAAGAUAAAGGAAAGGGGGAUGAAAGUGCUUUAGAUGUAGCUAUGAAUUCAGUAGGUGUUGCAGAUAAGUCCACAUGUCAAAUAAAUAAAGCAAAACACAAUGUUGUGGUUGCACCAGAAAUAACACAACAAGGUAAAGCCCAGAAAAGAAAAAUGAAGAAUCAGAACAAUUUAAUGAUAAAGAAGGCAAACACUGUCCAGGAGGUGCAACAAGAUAAAACAUUAGUACCUGUGCAGAAGAAAAAGAAGAAAGGCAAGCCAUCUGAAAAAAAUCUUAAAAAAUCCAAGGUUAGAAAGGCACAAAAUUAUGAUUUUCAAAAAAAUACCCACAAAAUACCAAAGCACAAGGUAACGAAGAGUAAAUGUAGGCCUAAUUCUCCUGACCAGGCUCAAAUAGAGCAACAGGCUUUGCUCUUAUUAAAAGGCCACAAGCAACCUCAGCUGAAGGUACAUAAAUUGGAUGCUGCUAAACUAGAAAAAUCUCCCCAAAGCAAGAAGGAUGAACGGUUAAUGCAAAAUCAAGAGAAUGUGCAUGAUCAGAAAGCAAUGACACAGAGCAAAUCCUCAAAUGUAGCACACAGGAAGAAAACAAAAUCAAAGGAAAAUAAAUUUUUAGAGUCUCAGGGAGAGUCCUUAUGUUUGAAAAUGUCCUCUGUUGACCGCGGCUUUACUUCUGUGACUUCAGUGACAAACCCCAAUAUUGUACGAAAACGCAAAGCUCCUACGAAGAUAGACCAGGAAAUUGCAUUGAGCCCUCCAUACUCCCGACUUACUCUUGGGUGCCAGGACUGCGGGAAGACAUUCUCAGAAGUGUCUGCUCUACAGGAACACAUGGCAUCUUGGCACUCCGCUAAAAAGGUGGCCAUCCAAGAUGAGACGGAUCAUGUACCUAAAAAGCGAGUCACAAGACCUGGUCAACCUAAUGUCUUUGAAAUUCAGGUAGCAACAGACUGGGAUAUGGAGAUGGGAGAGAUUUUAGGAGACAGGGAAGAGCACAGACUCUCAUUCCCAGCACUAAGUCCUUCUCCUUCUUUGACACUUGCUUCUGGUUGUGUUGAAGGAAAGGAACAAGGAGACAAUGUUGAAGGAACUGUUCCUGGACUUGAGCAGACUCCUGAUAAAAAUCAUAUAGAGGUUUGCCAGACCCCUUCACAGGUGUCAACCCCAGCCUUAGUCAAAUGUAUUCUGCCCCAAGAGGUCACAGAAGAUAUUAAAGCUGGUGACCGUGUGCUAGUAAAAGAACCCAUCACAGAAAUAUCUUGCUCUGAACUUAUAGAUGCAGAAGAGGGGGAAAUUAAAGAAGAAUUGCCCUUGGAUGUAAAUGUAGUCAUGGUUGGAGACAGAAAUGAGGAGGAAGAGAAUCAUAGCCCUCAGAUAAACAAUCUUGCCAGUGUCUCUCAAGAACACGAAAAUGAAGUGAGCAAUUGUCAUCAGUGCUCUCAGCCUCAACUGUCUGUAAAAGAUGCUGAUGUAGUAGUAUUGACUCAAAAUGUUGUCCACUGUGUUGCUGAACCAGAGAUAAAGCAAGAAGAGGAGGAGAUACUUUUACAUAGAAUUGGUGAUCAAAAAAGAGUGAUAGGAAGAAAUACUGUGACAAGGGCUAAGAAAGGAGUUGGCAGGGGCCGGGGCAAGAGAACGGUUGGAAGAAGAACUAGCACAGAAAACAGAAGUAAAAAUGACACCGAAGCAAAAAGGGAUUCACAGGAAUGCCAAGUUGUCUAUCAACUGUGUGUACUCAAUGAUACUCCAGAGGGACAGGACAAAGACACAGACAAAAAUAGAGCUAAUGCCCCUGAAACUGUGCCAUCAUUUUCCGAGGAAACCCCUGAGGAUCAGGUAGUUUUUGAGCUGGACUCUGUUACCACUAGUGUAAUAGAGGUGGUGAACUCUGAAGAUGGUUCAUUUAUUGAGAAAUCUAGAGAGCUGGUUAGAGAUGGUAGUUCUCCUGGUGUCAUAUUGGAAAAAUUCUUGACCGCUUGUGAGAGAAAUGUGGAAAAUCCAAACACCCCAAAUCAGAUGAGACAGGCUAACUCAGAGUUGGAUGUCAGUAAAGUGACUAUGAAAUACACAUCUGCUGAUGUGAAAAUAGAAGAACGUUCUUCAAAUCAGGCUCCCCUCAGUCUGAUUUCCUCCGAGACUGGUUCGCUGCGUGGAGUACAAAUGUUCUUGGUGAAAGCAGAAGACCACUUGACUCUGAAUGACCUUGUGAUGUUCCACACACCGACGGAUGCUCCCCGUGUUGAAUGUCAAGAUAAGGCCAUUGAUAAGAACAGAGAUGGCAUCUCUUCUGACUCCGAUGUAGUACCGCUGCAGUCCAACAGCAAACAGUGUAUUUUUUAUCCCGUUAAGGAGGAAGAACGGGAACAUUUUAUGGAGCUCCCUGAUACAGAUCAGAAGUGCUUGGAUUCAGAGGGGCUUGCAGGGGCUUCAUCUGGAAUAGAUGAAUGUGAGGAAAUCAGGGUGGGGUUGGUACAAAUGGACGCGCAACAUCUGUAUAGAAACACUGAAGAGGGUGAUGUUAGUUCUGAACAGCAAAGCACUCAAGGAUUUUUAGAAUUCCUCUCCCAAAAUACAGACACUGAUGACUCUGAUAAUGUUCAUACUGAAACAGAAGCUGAAACCAUGGUGAUGUCCUGUUACUAUGGUAUACGGAGUAAUGGUGCAGCGCACCAAAUUGGAAUGGAAAGAUGUGGUCCUAAUGGCAGAAAAAAUGUGGGCCCUUCUCAAACAGUACACGCAGAAAUAGAGAGACAGCUUAGUUGGAAGCCCAUUAACUACUUCUGUCAGUAUUUUAGUUGGGACACGUGGAAAGAUAUGGCUGUCUGCACUGGGGAGAUUUCAAAAUGGCCAAACCCUGUUACAGAAAAAGAGGUUGCACAGUAUGUAGGAAUCCACAUUGCAAUGGGAACUCUAAAGUUUCCCAGCACAAAGCUCUACUGGGAUGACUGUACCCGAGUACCAUUAAUCGCUGAUGCCAUGUCAGCUUCAAGAUUCUGUGAGGUCACUCGACAACUGAGGCUGGCCAGCUCUGGUGGAGCUUCCAUGGAGACAAGUAGCGAUCAGCAGUCUGAAGAAAGGAAUAAAGACAAACCACAGCCAAGUAAUAAAUCCCAAAGUCAUGCCUCAAUGUCAAGAGACACAUCCAGAGUGUGUGUGCCGCCUCAGUCACACAAUAAUGAGGAAAAACGUAAUUGCACAAACAUUGAAGGGUCAAAGAUAGAUCCUUUGUGGAAGGUAAUGCCAUUGAUUCAAAGAGUUCAAGAGGGUUGUCGGGCCCUAAAGCGAAAUGGAUGCUUUGGAAUUGACCAGUACCCCCUUCCGUUUCAAAGACAUCCAAACCAUUCAUUACUUUACACAGUUGUGAUAAGUGGUGGAGGGUUGGUUGUGGACUUUAACUUGAGUGUAGAUGACUCCAAUAGAGAAAAUGUAGUUGAAAAGAUGGUAUCUAGAGGUAAAGAUAGAAAUGAUGGGAUGGUUUUUCUUUGCAAACCAGAGCUUUCCACACCCUCUAUGUUAGAGCAUCUUUUAGAUGCAGGUGUGCAAAGUGCUGGCAAGGUUGGUGGGGCAAGGGGGCAGAUAGGUGACGAGUUUGUGAGCUCAAAUGGAAAACUCAAACUCUUCAGAUGUCAUCAUGGCUUUAUUCUUUCUGCAGUGGUAAAGGAAAGGCCGCGUUCAACAUCUCUUGUCAGUGGCUUUGAGCGAGCCAUUAAAGCUGCAAAUCUGAACCGUGAUUUGAGAAGUCUUUAUCGUUCUCCAUGCACAAACUCAGCAGCCAGUGCUUGGCCACACUCUGUUCUCUGGGACUUGAUGGAUCUGGUAUUAGUAAAUGCAUGGCUACAGUAUAAGCAAGAUUAUAGUCAUAAUACAGAUCAAUUAUCACUUAUGGCAUUUCGUUUAGAGGUGGCAAAAGCGUUGAUCCUCUCCAGUGGUAUUGAUGCACAAGACUCAUCACCCCCCUGUCCUCCUGCUUCAAAACCACAUGGCCCAGAUACAAACUUCAGACCUUCUCAGUUUCUUGAGACCCCUUUGCCUGACGCAGUUACAAGGUAUGAUGGCUCUGGGCACUGGCCAGAGCAGCUGGCAGAGGGUGAGGAGGGCAAGUGUAGAUUUGGAGGCUGUGAGCGCACAUCACGUGUGCAGUGUCUCAAAUGCUGCGUGUUCCUUUGCAUUUCCCGAAACCACAACUGCUUCCUUAAGUUUCAUAGUCAGGGUCCUUCAUGAGGCGUACUGACUGGACAUGGUGGUGAAUGAAAUUUUUUGCUUUUUUAAACAAGAUAGUUAUGCUUGUAUACAGUGCUGUGAAAAUUAGACACACCAGGCCUGAUUACUGCCAGCCCUGUUCAAUCAAAUGAACACCUAAAUAGAACUUUUUCAGCAGAAUGAAGUUGGCUAAAAGGUCUCACCCAGUAGCACACUAUGCCAAGGUCGAAAGAAAUUCCAGAAAUUAUGAGGAAAAAGGUGAUUGGAAAUACAUCAGUCUGGGAAGGGUUACAAAGCUAUUUCAGAGGUACUGGAGCUCAAAAAAACCACAGUGAAAGCCUUUAUCUCCAAAUGGAGAAAACUUGGUACAGUAGCGAACCUUCCCAGAAGUGGCCAAUCUUCCAAAAUUCUUCCAAGAGCACAGUGACGACUCAUCCAGGAAGUCACAAAAAAGCCAAGGACAACAUCCAAGGAACUGCAGGCCUCUCUUGCAUCAAUAAACAGUGUUGGAGGCUGGCAUUUCCCACUGAAUUUUAUCCUGACUUUUGAAAAACAUCUUUAAGUUGACUCUGAUAUUGUCAAAUGGGCACAGCACAUGAUGACAGGUAUGAUGCAGGUUCAAGUGUUGGACUUUGCUGCUUUAGGUAAGACAGUGGUUAUUCUUCAGUAUUCAUAUUGGCUGCCAUGUUGAUGGAAAAACAAAUCAUGCAUAUUCAUGUUAUUGAUUCUUUAUUAUAAAUAUGAUGUGAAGAACUACUUUCUAAGUAUCUGUUUGUUUUCUAUGUUGUUUUGACAUGAGUGUUGUACAGUAGCUAGCAUGACCUGUAAUGUCUCUUGUAUGAAAUGCAUGGCUUAUUUGUAUGGAAUGCAUAGCAUAGCAGAAGAGAAAGUGGCUGUGAGAAAAAGUAACGCAAAAGUAACGUAAUGCUUUACAUAAAAAAAUAAUUUUUGAUUGUUACUUUGAGUAACGCAAUAUUCUAACAAGUUACUUUUAAAAGUAUGUUACCCAACACUGUCAAUAAAGGUCACUGUUCAUGACUUUUGUCUUUCGUGAGAAAGACACUGGGCAAAAAUGCCAUCCAUGGAAGAGUGGCAAACCACUGCUAACAUGAAACCAGAAACAUUAAUUCUGCUCUCUACCAAAAAAAUCCUAAAGGAGAACAUCAAGUCAUCAGUCUGUGAGUUGAAGCUUAAGCGCAACUGGAUUAUGCAGCAAGACAAUGAUACAAAGCAUAGGAGUAAGUCCACCUCUGAAUGGCUCAAAAGAAGUUUUGGAGUGGCCUAGUCAAAGUCCUGCCUUGAACCCGAUUGAGAUACUGUGGCAGGACCUUAAAUGGGCAGUUUGUGCUCGAAAACCCUCCAAUGUGGCUGAACUAAAGCAGUUUUGCUAAGAAGAGUGGGCCAAGAUUCAACCACAGCGUUGUGAAAGACUGAUCUCCAGUUAUCGGAAGUGUUUGAUUGCAGUUAAAGUUGGCACAAACAGCUAUUAAGUUUAAGGGGGCAGUUAGUUUUUCACAUGGGUGAUAUAGGUGUAGGAUAAUGUUUUUGCUUCAAUAAAAAAAAAAAAUUUGAAAACUGUAUUUUGUGUUUUCUUAGGUUGCCUUUGUUUUUUUAUGUUAUAUCUUGUUUAAAAAUCUAAAACAAUUUAAAAUGAAAAAUACACAAAAAUAGAAGACAUCAGGAAGGGGCAAAUAUUUUUUCACAGCACUGUAUGCUUAUAUAUUAUACUUUGCUUUAAUAAGAUAUUUAAGUUAUUGCUUGUAUUAUGCGAAGUCUUGCAUCAUUUUUAUUUAUUUUUUCAUUCUAAGACUCGCCAUGCAGCCCUCCAUAUCUGUUUUUGUCCACCUGUAGUUGUGCAAUAAAGCAACAGUUAAACCUAUUUGGAUGUGCAGUGAAUGUUAUAAUGUGAUGUAUUUUCAUUUCAUAUUGCCAACGAGAAUGUUAUGUAUUUUACUGUUCUACAGUAUGCUUGGUGGACAACACAAGAUGUCUUGUAUUUUUUAUUAAUUUUCCAAAAGCAGAGCCGAUAUUCAGAAUGUGAUGUUUUCUUGUUAAUUUCCUUCAAUCUAUUCAUGACUACAUCAACUCCUGCUCAUUGUAAAUUGCAAGCACCUUCAGUUUGUAUAAAAUAAAAGAUACGCUUUUACAUUUUAUAUUAUGGAGCCUAUCUUCUUUUGAUGAACAAACAUUGAACUUUAACAUGUAGUCUAUAUACAACUAUAAUCUGCACAAUUAUAUAAUCGUACUUUCAAUUAUUGUAUAUGCGGGCUACACAAAUUACCAUGUAAUCUAAUUCUAUAGGAGGUUAAA